UUUAAUCUUGUCUUCUUCAUGAUCACACUUUCCUAUUAACAUUUUCAUGUAAGUAUAGGUACGCUAAAUUAUUAUUCUAAAAAAACAUUGUUUAUGAGUUAUGAGGGGAGCAAAUGAACAAAAUAAGUAUACUAUAGUGUCGGGGGAUAAUGUGUAAGAGCCUUAAUGUACUUAUCAUAUUAUUGCUAACAAAGCAACACUUACUUACAAUGUUAGAGAUGAAUAGGUUACCAUUCAUUAAGUGAUUAAAGUAGGACAAAAAUUUUAUUGAGUAAGUUAUGUGUUCUCCAAUAACUAUAACUAUUAUUAUUUAAAACAUUGAGUUUAUAAUGGAUGGACUAGGUUUGAGCAACCUUAAUUACCUUCGCAUAUUGUACCGUGCUAUACGAUACAAUAAGAAUAGUUUGUCUGUUGAUUUGUUCGUGCGUAGGUACAAAAUACAACAUGCAACGUUAUUCAAUCGUUUUUUACCCGAUUAAAUAGCAACCAACUUCUUUGCAUGAAUACAACCUAAGACAAAUCCAUGAUAUUUCAAACUGAAUGUAGUCCUACAACAACGUGCGCCAGCGCCGGCGACGCUAUGUCUAGAGGGUUCGUAUUUCACAUUCCACAUCCAGUUAAGGAACGAUCUUUGAAUGAUAAAACCUGCGAUUUUGAACUUUAUUGAUAAUUUAAAAAAGUAUAUAAGUUACGUGAAAACUUGUGAAAAUUCAUUACAUUGUACUGGACAUCAAAACGUGAUCUACAACAUGUCGGAUUCAAAUGAUCCUUUUAACUUUCAACCCAAUACGACCCUUACUCAACGUGUUAGUAAUUAUUUUCAAAGGGAAAAUAAUGGGUUAGAUAUCCCUCCUACUUUAAAAAAGAAAAAAGCCAAUGUUGUGUAUUCAUACAUAAAAGUUCCUAAUAAUGGAGCCAAAGUUAUCAGAUUGGAAAUAUAUGAUGCGGCAAAACUACGAAACACUAUGUUUUGUGAAUGUGAUGCAAAUGUCUGUGUUCAAUAUGUCGUCGAUAGCGAUAACUUACUUUUCGAUGAAAUCUAUAAUGGAGCUCACAGUUUAAUAACGAAAAUACAACGAAGUAUGUCCUGCAUUGAUGUUACUAGUGAUUAAAAAAUAAGAGUGAAAUGCGUUUUUGUGUAAAUAAUUAUUGUUUAUAACUAACGAUACAAAUUGUCUACUCAAUCAUUAUGUAAACUUAUUCGAAUGCAAAUAAACAAACUUUAUUAUUGAA